rnacentral:lncRNA from 1 species
GGAACCAGGGAGGACAUGACCCUGUCCUGGGAGAGCAGGGGACUCCCUAGGGAACUGGAACAACGAGGGACCCCAGGACCAGCUCCCAACCCCUGGACCCUGGCUCUGAGCCUGCCCUUGAGCCAGCCCAGCAUCAGCCUUAACUGUGUGCUCAGCAACCAAGAACACCGGAAAACUGUCACCUUGGACCUUGGGGACAUUUGUGACCACGAUCCACAGGGACAGGCUGAUGCCUCCCAACUACCCAGCAUCCUGGGGACUGUUGUGGUCCUGCUGCUGAUCCUGGGAGCUGGACUGUUCCUCUGGAGGACACGAGUGAAGAAGAGCCUGGAGCCUGGGAGAGGUGCAGGGUCCCAGGACGAGCACAGGGACCCCGAUGGUGGCAUUCACUAUGCAGAGCUGAGCCAGCAGGGGUCUGGAGACAGCAGGGACCAGGUGAGGCUACAAAUGGGGGCAGCCUGGGUCCUCCCUCGUCCCUCUGUGCCUGGGUGUGUGCCU